rnacentral:pre_miRNA from 1 species
CUGCUACUCCCUCCGUCCGAAAAUACUUGUCCUAAAAAUGGUUGAAAAUGAAUGUAUCUAUAACUAAAAUAAGUCUAGAUACAACCAUUUCUAAGACAAGUAUUUCCGGACGGAGGGAGUAUUUU